GGAAGGAUCAUUAACAUUAUUCCGAGGCCAAGGAGUUCGCCCCUUGCGCUACACAAAUAAAAAUAGAGUGUAAGUUUUUACAAGUCCAAAAAGGACCAAAUGACCGUAGACGGUGGAUGACUCGGCUCGUAUACCGAUGAAGAGCGCAGCCAAGUGCGAUAUUUAGUGUGAAUUGCAGAAUUCUGUUGAAACACCGACCUCUUGAACGCAUCCGGCACCUUGGAGCAAUCCAAGGUACACUUGGUUGAGUGCGGCUACCCAAUUCCGUCUACCAAUACCCAGCCCUCGAAUCACAUAUAUACACACCCACGACAUUAACUAAGGGGGGGAUUCAUUGAAUGGUACGAACGGGCGUUCCGGCUUGCGACUAACACUCGCUUCCGGCAAAUCUUCACACCCACCACCCUUGCGGGCUGGUUGAUCCUAGACGUUGCGACGCCUUUGCGGUCCUGCGUCCUUUAUUCCAAACGAUCUGUCGAUGUAUUAAAGGCCAGUGGUGAAACGAAUGCUUGAUUGCAGGACACACAACUCCACAUAGUCAGAGUCGAUGAUCGGAAGGGCGAAGGGAUUCACUGUGCGGCGCGAGACUUAGGAGAAGCUGGACUUUACCCCGUGAAGGAGGGGAGUGCAUAGAAAGACUUUGCUAUUUCCGCGAUCAGGGGUCAUCGACUCUUGUUUGCGCAAAUUUACUGCCGCCUCAACUCAAGUGGGACUACCCCCUGAACUUAAGCAUAUCACUAAGGGGAGGAAAAGAAACUAACGAGGAUUCCCUUAGUAACUGCGAGUGAAACGGGAUGAGCUCAUACCCAAAUCUGGCGUGGGGAAACCUGCGUUCGAAUUGUAGUGUUUUGAGUGAUUCACGACUUGAACCGUGGGGAGAAGUGUGUUGGAACGCACUGCCAUAGAGGGUGAUAGCCCCGUAUCUCCAUCGGCGUUAGGCCUACUGAGUUGCUUUUAGAGUCGGUAUGUUUGAGAGUACAUACCAAAGUGGGAGGUAAACUCCUUCCAAAGCUAAAUACGGAUACGAGACCGAUAGCGAACAAGUAGCGUGAGCGAAAGUUGCAAAGAACUCUGAAGAGAGAGUUAAAGAGUCCCUGAAACCGUCUACGGGGAAGCGUUUGGCUUGACCCUCUGUUGCUGGCGGCUCACUUAUCGCCGGGGCUUCUCCGUUGUCCUACUGAGCCUGCGCUUGCGUGGGCACGACUGGAUGCGAGUUGUUUCGACGGUGGGGCACUCCGUCAGUGGCAAUCAUCGACAGUGUUGACUUUGACAAAAGGCUCUCGACUGGGUGUCAUCCGUAGGCUCUCGGCUUGCGGGUGGAUUUAAGUUGGGGUGUCCCGUCGUCGUUGAUACCGCCAAGUUAUGGUCGGCGCAGUGCGAUAUGGCGCUUGUCCCGGGGUUGCGUGGACUGGGGAGACGGCCUAGCCGUGUCUUUGGACUAUGUGAUCCAAUGGGCAGGCUCAUUUACUGCCGACUACUCGAUGACUUGGGUUGGGCUAAAUGUCCCGUCUUGAAACACGGACCAAGGAGUCUAACAUGUGUGCGAGCCUAAGAGUUGGAAACUCGAAGGCGCAAUGAAAGUGACUUGAGGAUGGGAUGGGGCCCCUCGCAAGGGCUCUUGCACCAUCGGCCCAUCGCUCUCUUCGAGGAGUGUUGGAGCUCGAGUACACCUGUUAGGACCCGAAAGGUUGCGAACUAUGCCUGCAUAGGGCGAAGCCAGGUGAAAACCUGGUGGAGGUCCGAAGCGAUACUGACGUGCAAAUCGUUCGUCAAAUGUGGGCAUAGCGGCGAAAGACUAAUCGAGCAGCCUAGUAGCUGGUUCCCUC
rnacentral:misc_RNA from 1 species